rnacentral:sRNA from 1 species
AAGGAAGUUAUUUCCUUAGUAUUUAUAUUGUGGAGUUAAUAAGGAGCUAAAACUGUUUUUGGACAUGACUAGCAAAUGACAUUUUGCAAAUAUUACCAUGGACUAAGGAGAGUUACUUGUUGAAAAUUUGGCUCAAAGUGAUCUAAGCUACAAUGAUAUAUGUGACAGGAUCACCUUUGGAGAUACCAAGUGACGACUACACAUGGAAAAAAUUGCAAAAUCAAUUAGAUUAGGUGGAGAAGUUCAUGAUGAUGCACAAAGAGGAGUUAACGAUGUUACCACGGAUUUUUUAAAGUAUAUAUCCAAGAUGAAGAUAUCACUAGUCCAACAAAAAAACUAUUCAAUUAAUAAAUUUUUUAUUUUUUGUGGUCCAACUUCAUUUUAUUAAAGAAUCUAAAUGGCAUUACACAAAAGAUUCAAUACAAACCAAAAACACUGAUAAAAGCUUAUAUCAAUAGAAUUCAUAGACACGUGUCUUAAUAGAGGAUAAACAUGGGCACGUGACAAGUUUGGAGAAAAGUUGUUUUUUCAUGAACUUAUCACCGGCGAACUACUUCUGGUCACCGGGAUAUUUCUUUACCUUCCAGUUCUUCAUCAUCACCCUUCUUGAUAAUAAUAAAAGAAAUAUAUAUAUAUA